GUCCAGGGGUAGCCUAGUGGACAUGGCACCUGCCCGGUAAGCAGAAGGUUGUGGGUUCGAUUCCCGCCCCUGGACA